AGGAUUUUUCACAACCUGCCCCAGAAACUGAAGCCUCUACCUCAAUGGGCUUCAGAAGGAAUGUGAACAAGUGGAAACAGACUCAGUCAGGGCCCUGUGUUCACUGAAGGAGCUGGACUGUGAGCUGAGGAGGCUCCAAAUUAAAAAAAUUAAAUUGGAGAUCAAACAGCUGGAAAAAACAGAUCUCACCACAUGACCAAUAAAACAGUUUGAG